GCCAGCAUGGUGUAGUGGUUUGAUUGAGGGGCUGUGACUCUAGAGGCCAGGGUUCGAAUCCCUGCUCAGCCA